rnacentral:rRNA from 1 species
GGGUUGUAAACUUCUUUUAUAAAGGAAUAAAGUCGGGUAUGCAUACCCGUUUGCAUGUACUUUAUGAAUAAGGAUCGGCUAACUCCGUGCCAGCAGCCGCGGUAAUACGGAGGAUCCGAGCGUUAUCCGGAUUUAUUGGGUUUAAAGGGAGCGUAGAUGGAUGUUUAAGUCAGUUGUGAAAGUUUGCGGCUCAACCGUAAAAUUGCAGUUGAUACUGGAUAUCUUGAGUGCAGUUGAGGCAGGCGGAAUUCGUGGUGUAGCGGUGAAAUGCUUAGAUAUCACGAAGAACUCCGAUUGCGAAGGCAGCCUGCUAAGCUGCAACUGACAUUGAGGCUCGAAAGUGUGGGUAUCAAACAGGAUUAGAUACCCUGGUAGUCCACACGGUAAACGAUGAAUACUCGCUGUUUGGCAUAUACAGCAAGCGGCCAAGCGAAAGCGUUAAGUAUUCCACCUGGGGAGUA